AUUGAACGCUGGCGGCAUGCUUUACACAUGCAAGUCGAACGGCAGCGCGGGCUUCGGCCUGGCGGCGAGUGGCGAACGGGUGAGUAAUGCAUCGGAACGUGCCCAGUAGUGGGGGAUAGCCCGGCGAAAGCCGGAUUAAUACCGCAUACGACCUGAGGGUGAAAGCGGGGGACCGAAAGGCCUCGCGCUAUUGGAGCGGCCGAUGUCGGAUUAGCUAGUUGGUGGGGUAAAGGCUUACCAAGGCGACGAUCCGUAGCUGGUCUGAGAGGACGACCAGCCACACUAGAACUGAGACACGGCCCAGACUCCUGCGGGAGGCAGCAGUGGGGAAUUUUGGACAAUGGGGGCAACCCUGAUCCAGCCAUGCCGCGUGCGGGAAGAAGGCCUUCGGGUUGUAAACCGCUUUUGUUCGGGAAGAAAUCCUCUGGGCUAAUACCCCGGGGGGAUGACGGUACCGGAAGAAUAAGCACCGGCUAACUACGUG
rnacentral:rRNA from 1 species